rnacentral:misc_RNA from 1 species
AAAAUCAUGACCUCUAAUGGGUAUUAUAUUUAAUUUGGAUAUGAUAUCUGUACUCAUGAAAAGAAGAAAUUUGGACAUUUUAAUGAGGUGUGAAGCUCUGCAACACCAAGCUAAUUAGAUCUGUUUUGGUGGGAUGUGGUCCUAUUACUUCAACAAUCAUCAUCAAAACACAAGCUGGCAAUCACCAAAAAACAAAAGAAAGUGUGCUUAUUUAGGACCAUUACUUUGCAUUCUUCCUAUCCUUUCAUUUCAAAUUGUGGGUAAACUUUUGAAAUCAAUUCAAUUUCAUUUUUUCCUUUUA